UUGUUUUGUCUAGAGACCUGAAACCAGAGAACAUCCUCCUUGACUAUGAAGGGCAUAUCGUCUUGACGGACUUUGGAUUGUGCAAGGAAGGCAUUUCCCGGACAGAUACCACCAAUACAUUUUGUGGAACACCUGAGUACUUGGCUCCAGAGGUCCUGAGAAAACAGCCGUAUGACAACACGGUAGACUGGUGGUGUCUGGGUUCAGUGCUUUAUGAGAUGCUCUUU